rnacentral:rRNA from 1 species
AGGGCUUACCUGCAGUCGAGCGGGCGAGGUUGCUUCGGUAACUGAGCUAGCGGCGGACGGGUGAGUAAUGCUUAGGAAUCUGCCUAUUAGUGGGGGACAACAUUCCGAAAGGAAUGCUAAUACCGCAUACGCCCUACGGGGGAAAGCAGGGGAUCUUCGGACCUUGCGCUAAUAGAUGAGCCUAAGUCAGAUUAGCUAGUUGGUGGGGUAAAGGCCUACCAAGGCGACGAUCUGUAGCGGGUCUGAGAGGAUGAUCCGCCACACUGGGACUGAGACACGGCCCAGACUCCUACGGGAGGCAGCAGUGGGGAAUAUUGGACAAUGGGCGGAAGCCUGAUCCAGCCAUGCCGCGUGUGUGAAGAAGGCCUUUUGGUUGUAAAGCACUUUAAGCGAGGAGGAGGCUACUUGGAUUAAUACUCUAGGAUAGUGGACGUUACUCGCAGAAUAAGCACCGGCUAACUCUGUGCCAGCAGCCGCGGUAAUACAGAGGGUGCGAGCGUUAAUCGGAUUUACUGGGCGUAAAGCGUGCGUAGGCGGCUUCUUAAGUCGGAUGUGAAAUCCCUGAGCUUAACUUAGGAAUUGCAUUCGAUACUGGGAAGCUAGAGUAUGGGAGAGGAUGGUAGAAUUCCAGGUGUAGCGGUGAAAUGCGUAGAGAUCUGGAGGAAUACCGAUGGCGAAGGCAGCCAUCUGGCCUAAUACUGACGCUGAGGUACGAAAGCAUGGGGAGCAAACAGGAUUAGAUACCCUGGUAGUCCAUGCCGUAAACGAUGUCUACUAGCCGUUGGGGCCUUUGAGGCUUUAGUGGCGCAGCUAACGCGAUAAGUAGACCGCCUGGGGAGUACGGUCGCAAGACUAAAACUCAAAUGAAUUGACGGGGGCCCGCACAAGCGGU